rnacentral:rRNA from 1 species
CCUACGGGGUGCAGCAGUGAGGAAUAUUGGUCAAUGGCCGGAAGGCUGAACCAGCCAUGCCGCGUGAAGGUCAGUGCCCUAUGGGCGUUAAACUUCUUUUGUGCGGGAGCAAUAAUGGUCACGUGUGGCCAGACGAGAGUACCGUACGAAUAAGCAUCGGCUAACUCCGUGCCAGCAGCCGCGGUAAUACGGGGGAUGCAAGCGUUAUCCGGAUUUAUUGGGUUUAAAGGGUGCGUAGGCUGUGAGGUAAGUCAGCGGUGAAAUGCCCCCGCUCAACGGGGUGAAGUGCCAUUGAUACGGCCUGGCUGGAAUGCGGAUGCCGUGGGAGGAAUGUGUGGUGUAGCGGUGAAAUGCAUAGAUAUCACACAGAACACCGAUUGCGAAGGCAUCUCACGAAUCCGCGAUUGACGCUGAUGCACGAAAGCGUGGGUAUCAAACAGGAUUAGAUACCCGAGUAGUC